GGAUGGACCCGUCCUCCGGUGCCUACUGAGCUGAUAUCAGUUCUGAUUUUACACACUGGCUCAGUUCAGCAGGAACAGGAGUCGAGCCCUAAA
ensembl:miRNA aca-mir-24-2 aca-mir-24-2